UCUUGCAUUUUCCAAAGAUAUCAAUAUCUAUGUCGCUUCCCAAAUUUGAAUCAAAUUUUCAAAAUAAAAAAAGUGAACAUACAGGUGCGAGUGGAGGGGAAUUGUUUUGUGCCUCGUUUUUGUACCCAGCGAGCAUCAUCAACACCCAUCUCGAAUUAAUUUUCAAUCGAUUAAAGUCGAUGGAUUUCAAACAACUUGUUGUCCAUUUGACCUUGAUAUGGGGGGGAAAAUAUGGUAAACUUGAAUCGCAUUACCUUGGGCUGCUCUAUUUAUCUAAUCUCCACAAUUGGAAAACCCCUUGCGUUUCUAUUGAUGCGAAGGAAUUCCAUCAAGUUGAGAUUAAAAUAGCUACCUGGAGCUUAUAGGUGGAGAAAAUCGGGGUCCGUUUGGUAUACAAGGAAGACAUCGAAGAUCCCAAUCAAACUAUUGCGCAUGAUAGCAGCAACUGCAGUGGACGAAGAUUCUCUUUUGAUGACGCAGUAUAUUACGCUUUUAGGUGAUUAUGAAAUCUAGGAUCUAGAUUUUAGCAUCUCAAACAGAAUUUUGUUCUCUUCUUUUACUUCUUUUUAAGCAGGUUGGAAUGAUACAAAGUUUUUCAUUGUUCUCUAGUUGGUGCACUUGGUAUUUAAUGGAAGAAGGGGACCAAACGACCCACCUGGGCUCUCACUAUAUUGGUCAUGAUUUCAACUCUCAAGGGCUCAAAAUGGACUUGUUCAAUGGAGGAACUGAUACAACUACCACAUCCAUCUACAAUCUUUGCUUACAGAAACAAUGCGGCUUCAUCCAACAGCAACUCUUCUGGUGUGCCUUAUGCUGAGAUGGAUGUGGAAAUUGUGGAUACACCAAUCCUAAGCACACCCAUGUGAUUGUAAAUGCAUGGGUUAUAGCCCAAGAUCUCAUGUAGCCCACACAAUUUAUACCAGAAAGGUUCAUGAGUACUGAAGUUUUGGAUUUUUGAGGAACAAAUUUCACUUUUAUUCCAUUUGGGUCUGGGCAGUGGAUUUGCCCAGGUUUAGCUCUUACUGUAAGACUCCUAAACUUGUUGCCAGCUUCUCUCAUUCACCAAUUUGAUUGGAAACUUCCGGAUUGAAUCACACCCGAAGAUAUCUACACAAAAGACAAAUUCGGACUGACAUUGCAGAAGGCUAUUCCAUUUGUUGCCAUUCCUGUGGUUGUUGCUAAAGUGGAGUAGUUUAAGGACCUUUUCCUAUGUUAUACUAAUGUUGUUACUUGUUAGUAAUGCUGCAAGUUGUUAUUUGAUAAUGUGCUAUUGCUGAACUGAGUGUAAAUUUUUGGAUAGAUUUAAUGUGACCUUGUGCUCUUCAUUUCCAAUUUUAA